UCACGACUACGCGUGUCUUGUAGUAGAUGGCUAGCUAGAAGUUAUAUUUCCAGUUGUCCCAUUCGUUUUCUGUAAAGGGUAUUUUCAAGAAUGCCACCUAAGGGGAAAGGUGCCAAGGAAGGGGGGAAGGUGCCAAGGGAGGCAAAGGUUACUUUAUUCAUCACUAAAUCGACUAGGCAUGUUGAAUUGAAAAACAUGCUAACUUUACAACACAGCCGGUGUGUAGCAGCUAGGCAGCCAUCUCCAUGUUAGUCAUGUUAUUAUGUUGAACGUUAUCAUUCAGGUGGAGCUGCUGCAGGGGGUGGAGAAAAGGAAGAGAAGACGAUAAAAAGAAGGCACUUCUGUUAAGACAUAUCCUGUGUGAGAAACAUGGUAAAUGCAUGGAGGCGAUGGAGAAACUGAAGUCCGGGUUUCGCUUCAGUGAAGUGGCCUUUCCAGUACAGUGAAGACAACGCCAGACAAGGGGUACGAGAGCCUUUCCCAUGCUAACGGGUGAUCUGGGCUAGAUGACAAGAGGUUCUAUGACUGGACCCUUCCAGGAUGCUGCCUUCGCCCUACCCAACAGCACCAUGGAUCCAUUUACACAGACCCUCCCAUCAAGACCAAGUCUGGCUACCACAUCAUCAUGGUGGAAGGAAAGAAAUGACCUGAAGGCCUACUCUAUUUGGACUGAGUGGACUAGAACCAGACGGCAUCAGCCUAAAGUGAGCCCCUACCUGUCUCUGGAUCCUUGGCAUCGAUAAGGCUCCUCUGCUCAUUUCUUCUCAGGUUCUACCUGACACCCUGACCUUUAACCCCUGACCCCCCCCCCCCCCAUCCUUUCCUUCCUGCCCUGGUACUACCUCACCGGUCUGGUACUACCUCACCGGUCUGGGGAGAAGAGAACCCAGGCCACAUGGGUCAAGGCUCACUCCACCUACUGCCGCUCCGAGGAGCCAUACCGCUGUGUAGACCCCUUCCAGAGCUUGGCCACAGAACACUUCCCUGGGAAAGAAACGCUGGUCCAACUGUUCCAGCAAGGUGUGCAGCGCUUUGAGGACUCUUGAGUGUUUAGGGACUGGAGAGGUACUGAGUGAGGAGAACGAGCCCCAGCCAGGUGGGCGUGUGUGGCACUGUGGCGUCUUUAAGAAGGUAACCUACAUGCAUACACCUGUCAUAGUGCUACAUACACCUGUCAUAAUGUUACAUACAUCUUUAAUAAUGGUACAUACAGGCCUUCCGAGUGGCACGGCUGUCUAAGGCACUGCUGUGUCAUAGCCGCCCUUGACUGGGAGACCCAUGAGGCUGUGCACAAUUGGCCCAUCGUCGUCCGGGUUAGGGGAGGGUUUGGCCGGCCGGGAUUUCCUUGUCCCAUCGUGCUCUAGCGACUCCUUGUGGCAUGCCGGGUGCCUGCAAGCUGACUCCGGUCGCCAGCUGGACUGUGUUUCCUCCGCCACAUUGGUGUAGCUGGAUUCUGGGUUAAGGGAGCAGUGUGUCAGGAAUCAGUGCGGCUUGGCAGGGUCUGGUUUCGGAGGACGCAUGGCUCUCCACCUUUGCCUCUCCCAAGUCCAUAGGGGAGUUGCAGCGAUGAGACGACUGUAACUACCAAUUGGAUACCACAAAAUUGGGGAGAAAAAGGGUAAAAGUACAAAAAUGUAUAUAAUAAUAAUGGUACAUAUACCUGUCAUUUUGCUCCUGUAAGUUUCUCUGGAUAAGAGCUUCUGCUAAAUAACUCAAAUGUAAAGGUCAUAAUGCUACCUUCACCUGUCAUAAUGCUACCUUCACCUGUCAUAAUGCUACCUUCACCUGUCAUAAUGCUACCUUCACCUGUCAUAAUGCUACCUUCACCUGUCAUAAUGCUACCUACACCUGUCAUAAUGCUACCUACACCUGUCAUAAUGCUACCUACACCUGUCAUAAUGCUACCUUCACCUGUCAUAAUGCUACCUUCACCUGUCAUAAUGCUACCUACACCUGUCAUAAUGCUACCUACACCUGUCAUAAUGCUACCUACACCUGUCAUAAUGCUACCUACACCUGUCAUAAUGCUACCUACACCUGUCAUAAUGCUACCUACACCUGUCAUAAUGCUACCUACACCUGUCAUAAUGCUACCUACACCUGUCAUAAUGCUACCUUCACUUGUCAUAAUGCUACCUACACCUGUCAUAAUGCUACCUUCACCUGUCAUAAUGCUACCUUCACCUGUCAUAAUGCUACCUACACCUGUCAUAAUGCUACAUUCACAUGCUAAUCGGAACUAGGAAACUCUAAAAUGGCCGACUUGCUAUUUGGUUGAACGCAGCACGUGUAUAACUUCAACCAGUUAGCAAGUCGGAAAUGUCAGUUUUCUAGUUCUAACUAUCACUAGAACGCAGCAAUAAUGCCACACACACCCAUCACAGUGCCACACACACCCAUCACAGUGCCACACACGCCCAUCACAGUGCCACACACGCCCUUCACAGUGCCACACACGCCCUUCACAGUGCCACACACGCCCCUCACAGUGCCACACACGCCCCUCACAGUGCCACACACACCCCUCACAGUGCCACACACACCCCUCACAGUGCCACACACACCCCUCACAGUGCCACACACGCCCCUCACAGUGCCACACACGCCCCUCACAGUGCCACACACGCCCCUCACAGUGCCACACACACGCCCCUCACAGUGCCACACACGCCCCUCACAGUGCCACACACACCCUUCACAGUGCUACUUAUGCCUAUUGUUGCGUUCAGUUCACAUGAAGCUCCAAGUCUUGUAAAUGUCAUCACGGUUUACAUAAAACUGCCUCUCUUUGCAACACAUUAUCUUCACCCAGCUCUAGCUGACCUAAAAUAAACAAGGAAGCGCACUAUUCCUCUAUUCAAAUAGGAGGAGAAGAUUGUCUGCUAAAUGACUCAAAUGCAAAUAGACUAACAGGUGAGCCUCUGAGAUCAGUUUUACCUCUCAGCCCAUAAUAGUAGAUGUUUACAUUGGCAGAGGGUGAGGGGAUCUUGGAUCUGUGCAUACUGGCAACAUCUAACUCCAGCUAUCUCAAGUCUCUCAGCCUAUAUGGGUGCUUCUGACCCAUGAACUCUGACCUUGGAUCUAUUCUAACCUCUAACCACUGCAGUGAGCAGAACUAUAUGAUCAGCGUUGUUAUGUCAUGAACAGUGAUCACGGCCCUACAGAUCAUCACAGGCCAAUUAUGCCAUUGAUGUAUGGUUAAAAUGUAAUGAAAUGACAUGUUCAUAUGAAGACUAACCUGCAAGGAUGAAAUAUGAAACAUAAUUAUUAUUGAUACAUUCUGAUAUCAAAUGGAUUGAGAUUAUAGAUUGAAUAAUUGAUAACUGAUAGAUUUAUUUGCAUUAUCGUUCUCAUGGUUAUGAUGAAUAGCUAUGAUCCUAAAUGACUCCAUUCUGCUUCAUAUUGAAUUCCUAUUGAACUGAAUUGCUGAAUUACCUCAUUAGGUUAAUAAUGACAAUGAAUGUUAUGAUUUAGACUUUUGUGAUUAUGAAUUUGAUUGGAUACAUGUUAUUCAGUUUCCUUUGUGAUGCAGCACAGACAAACUACCCAGUAAAUAUGUGGUUAAAGGAA